GAAUGCUGACAUAAGUAACGAUAAAGCGGGUGAAAAGCCCGCUCGCCGGAAGACCAAGGGUUCCUGUCCAACGUUAAUCGGGGCAGGGUGAGUCGACCCCUAAGGCGAGGCCGAAAGGCGUAGUCGAUGGGAAACGGGUUAAUAUUCCCGUACUUGGUGUUACUGCGAAGGGGGGACGGAGAAGGCUAUGUUGGCCGGGCGACGGUUGUCCCGGUUUAAGCGUGUAGGUGUGUGUUCCAGGUAAAUCCGGUUCACUUUAACACUGAGGCGUGACGACGAGGCACUACGGUGCUGAAGCAACAAAUGCCCUGCUUCCAGGAAAAGCCUCUAAGCAUCAGGUAACAUCAAAUCGUACCCCAAACCGACACAGGUGGUCAGGUAGAGAAUACCAAGGCGCUUGAGAGAACUCGGGUGAAGGAACUAGGCAAAAUGGUGCCGUAACUUCGGGAGAAGGCACGCUGACACGUAGGUGAAGUGAUUUACUCAUGGAGCUGAAGUCAGUCGAAGAUACCAGCUGGCUGCAACUGUUUAUUAAAAACACAGCACUGUGCAAACACGAAAGUGGACGUAUACGGUGUGACGCCUGCCCGGUGCCGGAAGGUUAAUUGAUGGGGUCAGCGCAAGCGAAGCUCCUGAUCGAAGCCCCGGUAAACGGCGGCCGUAACUAUAACGGUCCUAAGGUAGCGAAAUUCCUUGUCGGGUAAGUUCCGACCUGCACGAAUGGCGUAAUGAUGGCCAGGCUGUCUCCACCCGAGACUCAGUGAAAUUGAACUCGCUGUGAAGAUGCAGUGUACCCGCGGCAAGACGGAAAGACCCCGUGAACCUUUACUAUAGCUUGACACUGAACAUUGAGCCUUGAUGUGUAGGAUAGGUGGGAGGCUUUGAAGUGUGGACGCCAGUCUGCAUGGAGCCGACCUUGAAAUACCACCCUUUAAUGUUUGAUGUUCUAACGUGGACCCGUUACCCGGGUUGCGGACAGUGUCUGGUGGGUAGUUUGACUGGGGCGGUCUCCUCCUAAAGAGUAACGGAGGAGCACGAAGGUUGGCUAAUCCUGGUCGGACAUCAGGAGGUUAGUGCAAUGGCAUAAGCCAGCUUGACUGCGAGCGUGACGGCGCGAGCAGGUGCGAAAGCAGGUCAUAGUGAUCCGGUGGUUCUGAAUGGAAGGGCCAUCGCUCAACGGAUAAAAGGUACUCCGGGGAUAACAGGCUGAUACCGCCCAAGAGUUCAUAUCGACGGCGGUGUUUGGCACCUCGAUGUCGGCUCAUCACAUCCUGGGGCUGAAGUAGGUCCCAAGGGUAUGGCUGUUCGCCAUUUAAAGUGGUACGCGAGCUGGGUUUAGAACGUCGUGAGACAGUUCGGUCCCUAUCUGCCGUGGGCGCUGGAGAACUGAGGGGGGCUGCUCCUAGUACGAGAGGACCGGAGUGGACGCAUCACUGGUGUUCGGGUUGUCAUGCCAAUGGCACUGCCCGGUAGCUAAAUGCGGAAGAGAUAAGUGCUGAAAGCAUCUAAGCACGAAACUUGCCCCGAGAUGAGUUCUCCCUGAGACUUAAAGUCUCCUGAAGGAACGUUGAAGACGACGACGUUG
rnacentral:rRNA from 2 species